CCUACGGGGUGCAGCAGUGGGGAAUAUUGGGCAAUGGGCGCAAGCCUGACCCAGCAACGCCGCGUGAAGGAAGAAGGCUUUCGGGUUGUAAACUUCUUUUGUCAGGGAAGAGUAGAAGACGGUACCUGACGAAUAAGCCACGGCUAACUACGUGCCAGCAGCCGCGGUAAUACGUAGGUGGCAAGCGUUGUCCGGAUUUACUGGGUGUAAAGGGCGUGUAGCCGGGUUGACAAGUCAGAUGUGAAAUCCUGCGGCUUAACCGCAGAACUGCAUUUGAAACUGUUGAUCUUGAGUACUGGAGAGGCAGACGGAAUUCCUAGUGGAGCGGUGAAAUGCGUAGAUAUUAGGAGGAACACCAGUGGCGAAGGCGGUCUGCUGGACAGCAACUGACGGUGAGGCGCGAAAGCGUGGGGAGCAAACAGGAUUAGAUACCCCAGUAGUC
rnacentral:rRNA from 1 species